rnacentral:rRNA from 1 species
UACGUAGGGGCAAGCGUUAUCCGGAAUUACUGGGUGUAAAGGGUGAGUAGGCGGCAAGUUAAGUAAGAUGUGAAAGCCUGCGGCUUAACUGCAGGAUUGCAUUUUAAACUAAUCAGCUAGAGUACAGGAGAGGUAAGCGGAAUUCCUAGUGUAGCGGUGAAAUGCGUAGAUAUUAGGAAGAACACCGGUGGCGAAGGCGGCUUACUGGACUGAAACUGACGCUGAGGCACGAAAGCGUGGGGAGCGAACAGGAUUAGAUACCCUGGUAGUCCCU